rnacentral:rRNA from 1 species
AGUGAACGCUGGCGGUAGGCCUAACACAUGCAAGUCGAACGGCAGCACAGUAAGAGCUUGCUCUUACGGGUGGCGAGUGGCGGACGGGUGAGGAAUACAUCGGAAUCUACUUUUUCGUGGGGGAUAACGUAGGGAAACUUACGCUAAUACCGCAUACGACCUACGGGUGAAAGCAGGGGAUCUUCGGACCUUGCGCGAUUGAAUGAGCCGAUGUCGGAUUAGCUAGUUGGCGGGGUAAAGGCCCACCAAGGCGACGAUCCGUAGCUGGUCUGAGAGGAUGAUCAGCCACACUGGAACUGAGACACGGUCCAGACUCCUACGGGAGGCAGCAGUGGGGAAUAUUGGACAAUGGGCGCAAGCCUGAUCCAGCCAUACCGCGUGGGUGAAGAAGGCCUUCGGAUUGUAAAGCCCUUUUGUUUGGAAAGAAAAGCAGCAGGUUAAUACCCCGCUGUUCUGACGGUACCCAAAGAAUAAGCACCGGCUAACUUCGUG